GACUAAGUGACAUCCGACGGUUCCCCGAUGGAUGACUUCGAGGGGAUUAAUAGGGAACACGGUGCGGAAGACCCAACAGGGACCAAGACCGUGGCUGCCCCCGCAACUGUAAGCGGAUUGCCGAUCGUCCACGUGACGCUUUUCACAAAGCGUCAUGUCACUGUCCGAACCUGCGGGUUCUGACGGGAAGGCAGACGACCGGCGCAUAUCCGCGAGCCAGGAGACCUGCCGUCGAACGCAACAUCCA
rnacentral:ncRNA from 1 species